rnacentral:rRNA from 1 species
CAGUGGGGAAUAUUGGACAAUGGGCGCAAGCCUGAUCCAGCCAUGCCGCGUGAGUGAUGAAGGCCUUAGGGUUGUAAAGCUCUUUCAGUAGGGAAGAUAAUGACGGUACCUACAGAAGAAGCCCCGGCUAACUUCGUGCCAGCAGCCGCGGUAAUACGAAGGGGGCUAGCGUUGUUCGGAUUUACUGGGCGUAAAGCGCACGUAGGCGGAUCGUUAAGUCGGGGGUGAAAUCCUGGAGCUCAACUCCAGAACUGCCUUCGAUACUGGCGAUCUUGAGUCCGGAAGAGGUGAGUGGAACUCCUAGUGUAGAGGUGGAAUUCGUAGAUAUUAGGAAGAACACCAGUGGCGAAGGCGGCUCACUGGUCCGGUACUGACGCUGAGGUGCGAAAGCGUGGGGAGCAAACAGGAUUAGA